AGAGUUUGAUCAUGGCUCAGGACGAACGCUAGCGGCGUGCCUAAGGUAUGCAAGUCGAACGGGCGUAGGCUUCGGCCUACGCUAGUGGCGAACGGUCGCGUAACACGUAGACAACCUGCCCGAGAGUGGGGGAUAACAGCUCGAAAGGGCUGCUAAUACCGCAUGUGGUGGAGCAGAGCCUUCUGCUUUGACUAAAGGAGCAAUUCGCUCUUGGAUGGGUCUGCGGCCUAUCAGGUAGUUGGUGAGGUAACGGCUCACCAAGCCGACGACGGGUAGCUGGUCUGAGAGGAUGAUCAGCCGGACGGGGACUGAGACACGGCCCCGACUCCUCCGGGAGGCAGCAAUGAGGAAUAUUGCACAAUGGGGGCAACCCUGAUGCAGCGACGCCGCGUGGGUGAGGAAGUCCUUCGGGAUGUAAAGCCCUUUUGACCGGGACGAUAAAAGACGGUACCGGUCGAAUAAGCCCCGGCUAACUACGUGCCAGCAGCCGCGGUAAUACGUAGGGACCAAGCGUUGUCCGGAUUUAUUGGGCGUAAAGAGCGCGUAGGCGGCUAUCCACGUCGGAUGUGAAAGCUCAGGGCUCAACCCUGAGAGGCCAUUCGAUACGGGAUAGCUAGAGGUAGCUAGGGGAGAGUGGAAUUCCUGGUGUAGCGGUGAAAUGCGCAGAUAUCAGGAGGAACACCGGUGGCGAAGGCGGCUCUCUGGGGCUUACCUGACGCUGAGGCGCGAAAGCUGGGGGAGCGAACAGGAUUAGAUACCCCCGUAGUCC
rnacentral:rRNA from 1 species